AGCGAACGCUGGCGGCAGGCCUAACACAUGCAAGUCGAACGGCGUCUCCGGAGCAGUGGCGGACGGGUGAGUAACGCGUGGGAACGUGCCCUUUGGUACGGAACAACUGAGGGAAACUUCAGCUAAUACCGUAUGUGCCCCUCUUCUUAGCGGAAGGGGUGGGAAAGAUUUAUCGCCAUUGGAGCGGCCCGCGUUGGAUUAGGUAGUUGGUGGGGUAAAGGCCUACCGAAGCCUACGAUCCAUAGCUGGCUGAGA
rnacentral:rRNA from 1 species